rnacentral:rRNA from 1 species
GUCUCAGCAGCCGCGGUAAUACGAAGGGACCUAGCGUAGUUCGGAAUUACUGGGCUUAAAGAGCUCGUAGGUGGUUAAAAAAGUUGGUGGUGAAAUCCCAAGGCUUAACCUUGGAACUGCCACCAAAACUUUUUGACUAGAGUAUGAUAGAGGAAAGUGGAAUUUCUAGUGUAGAGGUGAAAUUCGUAGAUAUUAGAAAGAACACCGAAUGCGAAGGCAACUUUCUGGAUCAUUACUGACACUGAGGAGCGAAAGCAUGGGUAGCGAAGAGGAUUAGAUACCCUCGUAGUCCAUGCCGUAAACGAUGUGUGCUAGACGUUGGAAAUUUAUUUUUUCAGUGUCGCAGCAAAAGCGUUAAGCACACCGCCUGGGGAGUACGACCGCAAGGUUAAAACUCAAAUGAAUUGACGGGGACCCGCACAAGCAGUGGAGCAUGUGGUUUAAUUCGAAGAUACGCGCAGAACCUUACCAACACUUGACAUGUUCGUCGCGAACCUAAGAGAUUAGGUUCUUCAUUCAGUUGGACGAAACACAGGUGCUGCAUGGCUGUCGUCAGCUCGUGUCGUGAGAUGUUGGGUUAAGUCCCGCAACGAGCGCAACCCUUACUUUUAGUUGCCACCAUUUAGUUGAGCACUCUAAAAGAACUG